rnacentral:rRNA from 1 species
CAGUAGCCGCGGGAAUACGAAGGGGGCUAGCGUUGUUCGGAAUUACUGGGCGUAAAGCGCACGUAGGCGGAUAUUUAAGUCAGGGGUGAAAUCCCAGAGCUCAACUCUGGAACUGCCUUUGAUACUGGGUAUCUUGAGUAUGGAAGAGGUGAGUGGAAUUCCGAGUGUAGAGGUGAAAUUCGUAGAUAUUCAGAGGAACACCAGUGGCGAAGGCGGCUCACUGGUCCAUUACUGACGCUGAGGUGCGAAAGCGUGGGGAGCAAACAGGAUUAGAUACCCCUGUAGUCCCUGUCUCUUAUAA